CAGUCGCCGCGGGAAUACGAAGGGUGCAAGCGUUACUCGGAAUUACUGGGCGUAAAGCGUGCGUAGGUGGUGGUUUAAGUCCGUUGUGAAAGCCCUGGGCUCAACCUGGGAAUUGCGGUGGAUACUGGGUCACUAGAGUGUGGUAGAGGAUAGUGGAAUUUCCGGUGUAGCAGUGAAAUGCGUAGAGAUCGGAAGGAACAUCUGUGGCGAAGGCGACUAUCUGGGCCAACACUGACACUGAGGCACGAAAGCGUGGGGAGCAAACAGGAUUAGAGACCCCCGUAGUCCCUGUCUCUUAUAC
rnacentral:rRNA from 1 species